UUAUUACGAGUCCCGUCUUUCCACAGAUGAUGGCAUCAAGGUUUCACGUGGUUUUCUUCCUGAGUUUGAUCAGCGGACUGCUCAUUUCAGAGACUCAUGCCUGCAUCAAGACUGGUGGUUACCUGGUCCCCAUCCACAGCCCUGACAGAAAUGGAUUCCUCAACAAGCUGACUGAAAGAGUGUCCGGCCAAACACGCUUACAUACUAAUUACAUAAUCAUAUUGGUGGUCAUGAUGCAGUAAAGCAACCGCCGAUGUUGAAAAAUGAAGUCAUUGCUGAAGUGUAAAAUCCUUCAGUUCUUCGAGUGUCCACUUGAGGCUGUCCGCAGAAGCACAGGAAGUCACAUACACACAACAUUUU